rnacentral:misc_RNA from 1 species
AUGAAACCUUUGAGGGUUGAGCUGGCGUUUAUUCGCAUGUGCUUGCCCCUCUCAUCCUUUAUACAACCUGUGCACUUUUUGAAGGGAGACAUUAGUAGACAUUCACUUGUCGAAGGUAUCUCCCUUUACACUACAUACUCUAAUGAUUACUUUGAAUGUUUUAAAACGCUUAAACAGCAUUUAAUUAC